CCUUCUUUUGCAAUUUGAAAACAUCACUUUGAACACUUAGAACUGGCUAUCCAGGACACAGAUGCAAAUGAUGGUGUGGAAACACAGUAGGAUUUGAGGAUUUUGAGCACCUGAGGGAAAAAUUGUAAUGAUUUCUGGUCUCAGCUAAAGGAGGAUUGACUCUACUCUGAAAGUAAUUCUCUUUCCUCUUGGCGAGCAGAACAGCCUGGUUUACACUGGGCUCCCUGGAUGACUUCUUGACAGAGAGACAUUGGUAUUAGAGCUGGAGCUGUCUAAUUAUUUAUCCUUCCAAGGCCAGUGAUAAGAUAAAGAUAAUAAAAUAAAGGAGAUGAAAGAGUCAUGAAUUGAAAUAAAUUUUCUGG
ensembl:lncRNA